GUAUAAGGUUUGUAGGCACAAAGGCCCUUUCAUUACAUUCUAUAACAUAAAUGGUGUAUGUGAAGAAAACAUAGGCCUGGAAAUGUAAGGAAAAGACAGAAGUCAAUCCUCAAACCCGAAUGCCAGGCAUUCAGAAAGAUAUCCAGAUCUACAAAAGGUGCACAGGUGGAGAUAUAAAGAUGACAAGUGUGCACAUGCUCCCGAGAGAGCCAGCAGCAACCCAUCAGGUUUAUUUCAAUAAUGAUCCUUCCGCAGGUUCACCUACGGAAA
rnacentral:misc_RNA from 1 species